UACGGAGGGGGCUAGCGUUGUUCGGAAUUACUGGGCGUAAAGAGCUCGUAGGCGGCUUGUCACGUCGGGUGUGAAAGCCCGGGGCUUAACCCCGGGUCUGCAUUCGAUACGGGCUAGCUAGAGUGUGGUAGGGGAGAUCGGAAUUCCUGGUGUAGCGGUGAAAUGCGCAGAUAUCAGGAGGAACACCGGUGGCGAAGGCGGAUCUCUGGGCCAUUACUGACGCUGAGGAGCGAAAGCGUGGGGAGCGAACAGG
rnacentral:rRNA from 1 species